rnacentral:rRNA from 1 species
UACGUAGGGGGCAAGCGUUGUCCGGAAUCAUUGGGCGUAAAGCGCGUGUAGGCGGCUCGAUAAGUCUGCUGUGAAAGUCCAGGGCUCAACCCUGGGAUGCCGGUGGAUACUGUCGGACUAGAGUACGGAAGAGGCGAGUGGAAUUCCCGGUGUAGCGGUGAAAUGCGCAGAUAUCGGGAGGAACACCAAUUGCGAAGGCAGCUCGCUGGGACGUCACUGACGCUUAGACGCGAAAGCGUGGGGAGCAAACAGG